rnacentral:rRNA from 1 species
ACGGAGGGUGCAAGCGUUAUUCGGAAUUAUUGGGCGUAAAGGGCGCGUAGGCGGUUUUUUAAGUCAGUCGUGAAAGAUCAGGGCUUAACCCUGAGUGUGCGAUUGAUACUGGGAGACUUGAGUAUGGUAGAGGAAAGCGGAAUUCCUGGUGUAGCGGUGAAAUGCGUAGAUAUCAGGAGGAACACCGGUGGCGAAGGCGGCUUUCUGGACCAAAACUGACGCUGAUGCGCGAAGGCGUGGGUAGCAAACAG